rnacentral:lncRNA from 1 species
CUCAGAAAUACGUGUAAGCUUCUCAAGAUCAUUGUUUCUCCAUAGAACAACAAUCCCAACAUUCCGUGUAUUUACACAAAGACAUGUAGUACAUCCUAUGGACCAGGCACAGUUCUAAGCACUUUAAGAAUAAUAAUUCAUUUAAUUUUCAGGAAAACCAGACUGAAGGGCAGAAAGCUUAACUAAUUUUGCCAGGAUCAUAUCGCCAGCAAGUGGUAGAGCUGGGAUUUGAAUCCAGGCAGUCUACCUUUGGCAUGUGUGUGCUUAACCAUUAUGCCACCCUAUCUCUCCACAUGUCUAAUGGCAUAAUGUCUGGGUAGUAAGGAAGAACUUCAUCUUCCUUGGGUAGUAUGGAAGAUCAUUGAUCACACUGCUUACCUAAUAAGUGAAUCUCCUGAUAUAUAAAAAAAACUGCUUGAUUUUUCAUUAGUUCCUCAGAGAGUAGCUUCUUCUGGGUCAUAUUUUUUAAAGUUACUAACCAAUGGAAAAAUCACUCAAAAUACAGUGCCUUGAACAUAGAAUGGACGCAACUGCCUUGAAUUGAUUUGGAUUCCUUCCAGUCACAACUGUUGGAAGUAUUUACCCGAAAUGUUAAGAACCAUGAGAGCCAGUUGACCUAUUGCCAGAACAACAGCAAAUCAAAAAAGUGCUACGCCAGGCACCAGGAAUCUGAGGGAAAAGGAAAAACGCAUUUCCUCAGAAAAACAUCAAGGUACAGACUCUUCCAGAGCUAAGCACUGAAGCACCAACCCAGUCGAAGGUAAGAAGAGAAAGGUACUCAGAUAUUUGCAGGCAGUUUACAGUGGCCUACAGAGCGACUUACGACCUCACCAAGGAGCACUUCCUACCUUGCUCCAGGCUUGUCCACAAACACACUCCCGGUCGGCCACAGAGUUGCUCAAUUGGCAACAGGAAACAAUUAUCCCAUAGAAGAGAAUCUCCUCCUAUUUCUUCAUUAUUUUCCUACAAAUAAAUAUAUUCCAAUACACCUUUUCUGUCAGUUUAAUUCACUCACUAGGUUCACGAGAGCCUAGUUACUUCUAAUCUGGGAAGAGUCUGAUUCUCUUCCUUUAUUUGUGAUGGUGAAGAUAGAAGAUGCUCAUAAUGACAGACAUUAGCAAGUGCAUUGUGUGCAUGUGCGCACGCGCG